rnacentral:rRNA from 1 species
UACGGAGGCUGCAAGCGUUAUCCGGAAUGAUUGGGCGUAAAGCGUCCGCAGGUGGUUGUGUGUGUCUAUUGUCACAGCAUCAUGCUUAACAUGAUAAAGGCAGUAGAAACUACACGACUAGAGUGCGUUCGGGGCAGAGGGAAUUCCUGGUGUAGCGGUGAAAUGCGUAGAGAUCAGGAAGAACACCGGUGGCGAAAGCGCUCUGCUAGGCCGCAGCUGACACUGAGGGACGAAAGCUAGGGGAGCGAAUGGG